rnacentral:rRNA from 1 species
CCGUAGCCCAAGAGAUCGGGAUAACACCUGGAAACAGAUGCUAAUACCGGAUAACAACAGAUGAUGCCUAUCAACUGUUUAAAAGAUGGUUCUGCUAUCACUCUUGGAUGGACCUGCGGUGCAUUAGCUAGUUGGUAGGGUAACGGCCUACCAAAGCGAUGAUGCAUAGCCGAGUUGAGAGACUGAUCGGCCACAUUGGGACUGAGACACGGCCCAAACUCCUACGGGAGGCAGCAGCA